rnacentral:lncRNA from 1 species
GUCUUCCUGGACCAAAAGGGAUGAAAAAGAGCUAUCAUGAGGAACGAGCUCUAGUAGAGCCAUGUGUGUGAAAGUGUGGGUGUUUGUAUAAUGAUGCAAGAGCAUUUCGUAGCAGGUGGCAUUUUUCUGAAGUUGUUCAUUAAGACUUCCCAGCAUUCCUACAGAUAUAAAUAGGUGAGGCCGCAGGCGGUGCUCUGGGUCCGGGAGCGCUGUCCCCAGCAUGAACGCGGCCGGCGGCGGGAGUGAAUGACUGCAGCUGCGACUUCCUUCCCGGGCCGCCCGAGCCUCCUUCCCCACCGACUUUCUUGUUUUGAUUAACUCCGUGGACUCCUGACUCUUUCUUCGCCCGGAACAUCAAUAUGUGUCAUGUCAUUGUCACCUGUCGCUCGAUGCUCUGGACCUUGCUGAGUAUUGUGGUGGCUUUUGCCGAGCUCAUUGCCUUCAUGAGUGCAGACUGGCUGAUCGGGAAAGCGAGGAGCCGCGGCGGCGUGGAGCCGGCGGGCCCGGGCGGGGGCUCCCCGGAGCCCUACCACC